UAAACUCCCCUGGUGAUUUUAAUUUGUCA
rnacentral:piRNA from 1 species